rnacentral:tRNA from 1 species
CUAAAGAGAUAGGAGUCGAACCUACACUCAAGGGAUCAAAACCCUUAGUACUCCCAUUAUACUACUCCU